UACAGAGGUCUCAAGCGUUGUUCGGAUUCAUUGGGCGUAAAGGGUGUGUAGGUGGCGCGCUAAGUCGGGUGUGAAAUUUCGGAGCUUAACUCCGAAACUGCAUUCGAUACUGGCGUGCUUGAGGACUGGAGAGAAGACUGGAAUUUACGGUGUAGCGGUGAAAUGCGUAGAUAUCGUAAGGAAGACCAGUGGCGAAGGCGGGUCUCUGGACAGUUCCUGACGCUGAGGCACGAAGGUCAGGGGAGCAAACGGG
rnacentral:rRNA from 1 species